CGCUGGCUUCUGCAGGAGCCCGCCAGAUUCUGCAAUUACCUCUGAAGCCAGUCGUUACAAAAAGCCCGGUACUCAGAGGGGAAGAAAGGCAGCUUUCAUAAUCACUGAUGAGCUCACCAGGAGAAAUUUCCUGAACCUUGAUGUCAACCAUUCAUCAGCCCUCAAAGCCCGCCUUCCUCUAGAAAAACCCCCGUCCUGAGCGGCGAUGUGAACCCGCACACCCGUGUGGGCUUGCGCAGACUCGAACAAGGGAAACGUGUCAAACUGUCGUUACUCACUGAUAAAGGAUAGCUGCAGCGACAUCAACGAUCCCGUCCUCACUGCGCUCUGUGGGCACAGGGCACACUGCAUGCUGCGUUUCCGCUGGCAGGAGCUGGGGUGUAGAGAGGCCGCAGGCCCCGCCCUCUCGGGGCUCCCAGCCCGCUGCAGCAUGGUGUGACUGGGGAUCUCGGGAGAGGGGCCCCCGCCAGCCCGUGGGGUGGGAAGCACAGGGAAGGGCCCGGGAGAGGGCGAUGGAGAGGUGGCGGCUGUGGGCCUCUGGCGUCCGCCGGAGCUUGGUGCAGUGCUCAGACACUCGUGCUUGGUCCGGGACAAGGGACCCAGCGAGGAUCACCCAAACGCAGGUCCCCGGUGCCCAGCCUGCUCCCUGCAGGCUCUGAGUCCCCAGCCAUGGUGGGGUGGCCGUCAUCUCUGGGAUGCACCCACCGACUCCCUGGUCCCUACUGAAGGGGUCUAAAGACCAUGGAGAGGCGAACGGUGUGCGGCAGCACCCCCCAGCCCCCUGCCAGCCCCUGUUCCCACCCCUUCCACAUCCCUUCUCUGACACCCACACCACUAGCCUCACAGGGAGGUCAUUCUCCCCUGGGGAUGACACAAACGAAUGGUGUAAAGAAUCCACUGGCUUGGGGCGCCUGGGUGGCUCCGUGGGUUAAGCCUCUGCCUUUAGCUCGGGUCCUGAUCUCAGUGUCCUGGGAUCGAGCCCUGCAUCGGGCUCUCUGCUCAGCAGGGAGCCUGCCUCCCCUUCUCUCUCUGCCUGCCUCUCUGCCUACUUGU